rnacentral:rRNA from 1 species
UGGGGAAUAUUGCACAAUGGGCGCAAGCCUGAUGCAGCCAUGCCGCGUGUGUGAAGAAGGCCUUCGGGUUGUAAAGCACUUUCAGCGAGGAGGAAGGUGGUGAGCUUAAUACGCUCAUCAAUUGACGUUACUCGCAGAAGAAGCACCGGCUAACUCCGUGCCAGCAGCCGCGGUAAUACGGAGGGUGCAAGCGUUAAUCGGAAUUACUGGGCGUAAAGCGCACGCAGGCGGUUUGUUAAGUCAGAUGUGAAAUCCCCGGGCUCAACCUGGGAACUGCAUUUGAAACUGGCAAGCUAGAGUCUCGUAGAGGGGGGUAGAAUUCCAGGUGUAGCGGUGAAAUGCGUAGAGAUCUGGAGGAAUACCGGUGGCGAAGGCGGCCCCCUGGANGAAGACUGACGCUCAGGUGCGAAAGGCGUGGGGCAGCAAAACAGGAUUAGAUACCCUGGUAGUCCACGCUGUAAACGAUGUC